AUUGAACGCUGGCGGCAGGCUUACACAUGCAAGUCGAACGGUAACAGGUCUUCGGAUGCUGACGAGUGGCGAACGGGUGAGUAAUACAUCGGAACGUGCCUAGUAGUGGGGGAUAACUACUCGAAAGAGUGGCUAAUACCGCAUGAGAUCUACGGAUGAAAGCAGGGGAUCGCAAGACCUUGUGCUACUAGAGCGGCCGAUGGCAGAUUAGGUAGUUGGUGGGAUAAAAGCUUACCAAGCCGACGAGCUGUAGCUGGUCUGAGAGGACGAUCAGCCACACUGGGACUGCGACACGGCCCAGACUCCUACGGGAGGCAGCAGUGGGGAAUUUUGGACAAUGGGCGCAAGCCUGAUCCAGCAAUGCCGCGUGCAGGAUGAAGGCCUUCGGGUUGUAAACUGCUUUUGUACGGAACGAAAAGCCCUGGGUUAAUACCCUGGGGUCAUGACGGUACCGUAAGAAUAAGCACCGGCUAACUACGUGCCAGCAGCCGCAGUAAUAC
rnacentral:rRNA from 1 species